UACGUAGGGGGCAAGCGUUGUCCGGAUUUACUGGGCGUAAAGAGCGUGUAGGCGGCUAAACAGGUCCGUUGUGAAAACUGGAGGCUCAACCUCCAGACGUCGACGGAAACCGUAUGGCUAGAGUCCGGAAGAGGAGAGUGGAAUUCCUGGUGUAGCGGUGAAAUGCGCAGAUAUCAGGAAGAACACCUAUGGCGAAGGCAGCUCUCUGGGACGGUACUGACGCUGAGACGCGAAAGCGUGGGGAGCGAACAGG
rnacentral:rRNA from 1 species